rnacentral:tRNA from 1 species
GUAGUCGUGGCCGAGUGGUUAAGGCGAUAGACUAGAAAUCCAUUGGGGUCUUCCCGCACAGGUUCGAAUCCUGUCGACUGCG